rnacentral:lncRNA from 1 species
CUUAAUCUAAAUUUUGAAAAAAACAUUAUCAAAAAAUAUGUCUCAUUGUUAAUGAAUGUUUAAAAGUUAACUGGUCCUGAUCUUCCAUUUUUUCACUGCAAUGGCCUUGAUUAUGAUUAUUGUUCCCGGCAGUGGCGAUUUUGUUGGUAGUGGUGGUGGUUGAUGAGCAUCACUGAGUAUCCCCAUGCUUAGUUGUUUUCUAAAAUGCCCCAGAUCAUUGAUUAACACCGGUUUUUUUUUAUCUUGUAUUAGAAUCACACUAAGACUUAUCACAGGUUACAACUACACAUGUUUAUUGAUAGCAGUCACUGUUUUUCUUCUGAACAGAAUUUUUUUUUCGAAUACUUUGACUUAUUACUAUUCCC